AUACAGGGGGUGCGAGCGUUAAUCGGAAUUACUGGGCGUAAAGAGUACGUAGGCGGUUGCUUAAGUCAGAUGUGAAAGCCCCGGGCUCAACCUGGGAACUGCAUUUGAAACUGAGUGACUAGAGUUUAAGAGAGGGGAGUAGAAUUCCGGGUGUAGCGGUGAAAUGCGUAGAGAUCCGGAGGAAUACCAGUGGCGAAGGCGGCUCCCUGGCUUAAAACUGACGCUGAGGUACGAAAGCGUGGGUAGCAAACAGGAUUAGAUACCCUUGUAGUCC
rnacentral:rRNA from 1 species